CUAGUACUCCCUCCGUCCCGAAAUUCUUGUCUUAGAUUUGUUUAGAUACGGAUGUACCUAAUACUAAAAUGUGACUUGAUGCAUCCGUAUUUAGACAAAUAUAAGACAAGAAUUUUGAAACGGAGGGAGUACCAA
rnacentral:pre_miRNA from 1 species